UACGGGGGGGGCAAGCGUUGUUCGGAAUUACUGGGCGUAAAGGGCCAGUAGGCGGCCAACUAAGUCGGAUGUGAAAUCCCCAGGCUCAACUUGGGAACUGCAUCCGAUACUGGAUGGCUUGAGUUUGGGAGAGGGAUGCGGAAUUCCAGGUGUAGCGGUGAAAUGCGCAGAUAUCAGGAGGAACACCGGUGGCGAAGGCGGGUCUCUGGGCCGAUACUGACGCUGAGGAGCGAAAGCGUGGGGAGCGAACAGG
rnacentral:rRNA from 1 species